rnacentral:tRNA from 1 species
AUUUAAAUAGCUUAUAAAGAGUAUAAUAUUGAAGAUAUUAAGGAGAUAAAAUUAUCUUUAAAUA